rnacentral:lncRNA from 1 species
CAGAUUUUGUCGUGUUUUAAUUGUGUUUUAAAUAAUCAUUAGUUUAACAAGAGGGGAAAAUUUUUAAUUUUGCCCUCACUCGUCCUUUACGUAUUAGCUAUGCAUCUGUAUAUCGUAGUAGGAAUUUGGGAACCAUUACUACUGUACGGGCCUAAAUUUGUCCGGCCCUUUAGAAAACCCAAUAAUAACAACAAAACCCUAAACCCGAGAGGCCCAAAAUCUAAAAAAAAUUUUACCCUAAUGCCCAUGUACGCCGUACCCCUCCUCGAUCACGUCGCCUAUACCUCGUCCCAUGGAUUCUAGUCCCGAGGCCUGCCCUUCCUGUCUCCAUUUCACCGAAACGGCAAAGGGUUGGCCUCCUUUAUUCGUUGACCCUCUAAAAACACCUGCAAGAAGAAAAAAGAAGGACAACAGAAACGAAAGCAGAGAAGCAGAGAUAAAAUGCAUAAACAAUAGUAACAGUAGCGAAUACACAGUGUUGUAAAAGCUAUAAGAGCCAGAAUCGACAAUGUAAUUUUUUACACGGAUACAAAGCAAUCAAAAAAAAAAACAAAAAAGGUUGAGUCUUGUUGUUCUCUCGUUUUUACUUCCCGUUUCUUUAUUUUAUUUUCAGUUCUCAAAUAAGUUUUUAAUAAAAACAUAUAAAAGAAAAGAGAAAAGAGGAUUUACCUGAAGCCCGGAGUCGGUCGUCUGAGUCCCUGCUCCGUCGUAGAGACUGAUUCCCAAAAGGAAAAUGAGGUCUCUUUUCUCGGGUUCUCAAGCCAAGGAAAGCACCGCCUUCGGGUGCUCCAAACCGGGGUUAAAAAGAACCCCUCACACGGCCUCAACCACUGCCCUCGUGGCGUUGUGCGAUGACGGCGAUGAUGGGUUUCUUUUGAAACCCUAGCAAAGCAUAAACCCGGGGGGGUGUUCUGUUUUAGAAGAUGAAGCAAAAUAAGAAAAAAAGUAAUAAAAAUUGGUUUUAAUGGUGCAGCAAAACGGUGUCGUUCUGGUACUAAGGUCACCAGUGACUAAAACAGCGCCUUUUCAGUGAAAUAACCUGCGACCCGACCCAUGAACGGCUUAAGAUCCGCGCGUUUUGGACUGAGGGUAUAUUUGCGCCCUCAGUCAUUCCGCUUUUGAGGCUUAGUUCAAUAGGGUCCAAUUCUACUUCUUUUAUUUUUAAUUUUACCCCUCAAAUUUCCUUAUUAUUUUAUUUGGGCCCCUGAUAAGACUGUGCGUUUUGAGGAACGGGGUUAUUACCCAUCUGGUCCUCCCAUAUUAUUCGCGUGUGCAAAUUGGCCCUUUUCUCUUUUAUUUUCUUUCAAAUUUGCCCCCGAAUUUCUGUUUAAAGUUCAAAUUGGCCCCUUUUCGUCCCUUUUGUUAUUUUAUUAUUUAAUAUUAUUGUUAUUAUAAUUGUAUUUUAUUUUCACGCUUAUUAUUUGCUAUUAUUAUUAUUACCUUCAUUCCAUUAUUAUUAUUGUUGUUGCUAUUUUUUUUGUUUGUAUUAUUAUUUAUAUUAUUGUUAGUAUCAUUGUUAUUCCUUAGUUUAUUAUUAUUAUUUCAUCAUUUUUUUUAUAUUUAUCUAUAUUAUUAUUACUAUUAUUAUUGUAAUUACUUUUGAAUAUAUCAUGCAUUUUAAAUUAUUAUCGAUUUUAAAUAUUUAUCAUAUAUCAUUUCUUUUAAAUCAUCACAUGUAGUAUUUAUUUUGAGACUUUUAUAUGUAUUUUUGUAUUUUAAAUUAUUACAUGUAUACAUAUAUUUCUUUUUAUAUUUAUUUAUUUAAACGUUUUUUAUACAUCAUUUUACCUCGAACUUCUCUUUUCACAUUAUUUAUUCUAAAUAUUUUACACGUCAUUUAAGUUAAACCAUCUUAUAUAUUAUCUAUUUUUAAUUUUUAUAUGCUAUUUUUAUUUAAACCAUUUUAAACUCUUUUAUUAUUCUUUCGAUUAUUAUCUCAAGAUGUCGUAUAUUGCUAAACUAUUUGGUGAAUUUUUUUUUAUUGUUUUGUCAUUUAUUUUAAAUUAUUCAUAUUAUCUAUUCCAUUUUUUUCUUUAAUUGUUGAUAUUGGUAUUUAAAUAAUAUUCAUUGUAUGUCGCCUUUGCAUGCCUUAGAAAUUAUUUGUUAGUAUCUUCAUUGACCUUCAAUAACAUAGCAUCUAAUUCAACUAUCACUAUUCCAUGCUCCAUAUUACCUUUCAUUUUAACUAGUUUAAAUCAUAUCGUGUGUGAAACGUUACGUUUUAGUUCAAACAAAAUUACACUCAUCGUUAAAUGUUAUACUCAUUAUAUUUCAAAAAAUAAAUUUUCUAAAUAAGGAAAUAUUUGGCGUUUGGAAAUUUCGAGAAAUCGUGCCCUACGUGUUGGGUUUCGACUUAUCGUUUGACCGAACAACCAAAUAUCCCUUUUCAAAUUUUCAAUAUAUGAGUUUCAGGAAUCAUGAGAUGAUUUUGGUAUCGAAGGUUUAAAAUAUCGUGUCCUACGUGCUGGAUGUGAUAUUUCAUUUCUUUGAAACAAGAUAAUCUUAAUUGUUUCAUAUUAUUGCAUUUUUAUUCGAGAUUUUUUAAACAAGGCAAUAUCUGGCGUUUGAAAAUUUUGAGAAAUUGUGCCCUACGUGUUGGGUUUUGAUUUGUUGUUUGACCAAAUGACCGAAUAUCCUUUUUAGAUUUUCAAUGCAUAAGUUUUGGAAAUUAUGAGACGAUUUUGGUAUCGAAGGUUGAAAUAUCGUGUCCUACAUGUUGGAUGUGAUAUUGUAUUUCUUCGAAACAAGAGAAUAUUAUUAUCCACUUCAAGUUUUUCAAACAUUCAUAACAAGGGAUUGUAUUUUAAAUUUUAUUUCAAAAUCUUUUAAAUUUUCGACAUUAAGACGUUAAUUAAUCAAUUAGGUACCAAUUUUGGGCGUUACGAGGGUGCUAAUCCUUCCUCGUACGUAACCAACUCCCAAACCCGUUUUCUCAAAUUUAGUAAACCAAAAUCAUUUUUUUAAUAAAAUAAAAUAUUUUAUUAAAACAAUCAAAAUAUUAGGUGAUCCGUUCACACCUAAACAAAAAGGAUUGGUGGCGACUCCCUUUUUUUCGUUUUCAUUUUCAAAACCAAAGUUGAUCCCCUUUUUUUUUAAAAAAAUAGUUUCGACAGCUUGGCGACUCCACUGGGGACUUGAGAGUCGAGCCAUAAAUUGAUUAAUUUUUGUCCUUUGUCGAAAAUUAAAAUUCGUUUUAAACUUACGAUCCCUUCAUUGCAUUUCAUCCGUUUUUCUUAUGGUUUUCAUCAUUUUGUUCCUAUUUUCUUUGUUGCUUCGAGUUUUUUUAUGUAUAUAUCCUCGCAUAUUGCAUUGCAUGACCGUUAUGGUCACACCUCUUAAGUGGGAGUGAGAAACUAUUCCUUCGUGAGGUUUUCACCUCCGUGUAGGAUAGUGAAUUGCUUUCGGGAUACAUCCGUACCUAUGUCUUCGUGAGAUUUUCAUCUCCGUGUAGCCAUAGGAAAAUGUAUUCCCCUGAACUAAACUCGGUCUAUAUGAGCCUAUAAUGGGUGAGGAUUGAGGAAUCUACUAGCUCGGGUACCUUUACUCUAGAACCAAACCACAUAUAAUGAGCCCUAAGAGCCUACUCUAGGUAGAACCGCAUCAGACCCUAGUGAUUACCCGAUUAGGUACUUAAUAUUUCCUGUUUGCUUUAAGUUUUGUUAUAUAAUACUGACUUGUUGUGUUUUGUUGUUAUUGCAUGGCAUUUCAUCAUAAAAAGGUGUUGAUUCCCAUUCGGUUACUAAGUAGAAGAGCUUAGCAUGAAAAAGGGGUUUCUUGAUAGAGUAGAGGAUAAUGCGGCAGUCCGAGUAUGGUCCGAGACGACACAACAGGAGAAAGAUGAUAGUUUGACCGAAGGAUACGAAUCAGAAUUGUGGGAUUUCACUAGCAUCGGUGUAACUCAAAGUGACCUACAAGAACUAAAAGAGAUAUGGGGUCAAUGGAGUGACGAGGUCAAGCAACUCUUUUAUUGUAAUUACGGUGACCUACCCUAUUUGCUUGAUGCAAAGGUGAACAAACAUCUGUUUCGAGCCUUCGUGUAAUUUUGGAAUCCCACCUACAGUUGCUUCAUUUUCGGAAAACUUGAUUUCAUACCAACUGUGGAGGAGUACAUGGCUUUACUUCGUUGCCCGAAGAUUCUGGUCAACAAAGCCUAUUCAAGAGCUACUAAUGUCACAGCCUUCGUAAAAAAUUUAGUGAGUAUCACGGGGAUGAGCGAAUAGUGGGUUGCAAGCCGAUUAAGCAGAAAGGAAACAGUAAGUGUAUUCCUUGGAAGAACUUGAGAGAUCUAAUCCUAGCGCAUCCGGAUAUAAGGAAGAGGGUUGACGUGUUCGCUUUGAGCAUCUACGGUUUGGUUGUCUUUCCUAAUGCAUUAGGAUAUGUAGAUGAAGCAGUCUCAGACCUUUUCGAUUUACUUGAUAAAGGGGUCACACCCGUCCCGACAAUCCUAGAGGAAACUUUCAGGUCCUUGAACGCAUGUCGGAGGGCAGGUGAAGGAAGAUUCAUAGGAUGUGCUCAAUUAUUGUUGGCUUGGUUUCAUAGCCACUUUUGGAAAGUAGAAAAGGUCUCCUAUCAAGUUUUCUCAGAGAACUACUCCCCACUGAAAGAAUUAGUGGGUACGACAAGGCAGGAUGACCUUUCUAAAGAAAAGUGGAUGGCGAUUCUCCAGAAUCUACAAGCUGAAGAUUUUGAGUAGAGAGCCCCAUGGAUGAUCCCUGGCGAGAUCUUAUAUCGAUAUGGGGACUUUGACUGGGUCCCCUUACUCGGGAUAUGGGGAGCCAUUGGGUAUGCUCCACUACUUGUUUUAAGACAGUAUCGCUCAAGGCAGUUCGUACUAGCAACACAAGGGUUAGCUCAAUGUGAGUUCUCUUAUAAGGACGACAAUUAUAGGAAAAAGGUUUGUGAGAUGUCAAAUGCUUGGAAACGAACCAGAAGAAUGAAAGGAUUCACGACGGGUCCAAUAACGACCCCCGAGUAUGACCGGUGGUGGAUUAAAAGAGUCAAUGACAACAUCCCAAUGUCAAGUCAGGAAAAUGCCCGACCAAUAGAAGAGCAUUUACAAGUAGUCCCAUCCGAGUUAAAGAUCAUCAAACAAGACUUUGAAAAAAGGAGCUCGGAAUUGGGAAAGAAAAUAAAACAAUUAGAGGAGGAAAAGAUGCGGCUAGGAUCAGAUGUCGACAUCCACAAGCUAGAGGGUGAAAAGCUAAGGAAAGGGACGAAUAAAGCCGAAGAGGAUUUAGAUAGUCUGAAGACUGAUUAUUAGAAGCUGCGUAUGUCAAUAAGAACUGCCGGUUUGGGUAAAACAUUGGAUCAGUGGCGUCAAGAAAUUGAAAAAGAAAAGGCUAGAGCCGAUCACUGGGAGAAGAAGUUUUAAGAUGUUCGAGUGUGAGAAGAUGUUUUGAAAAAGAGUUUGUCAGAAAGCCAAAGCGAAAAAGAAAGGUUAAAAGCUCAAAUAGCUGAAUUGGAAAAAUCGCUAUAUCUACAUCGUAGCCGUAACUCUGUAACCGAGUUGAAGGCCAGCCUGAGCAAGAUCAAUGAGAUGAAAGGGAAAAUAGAAGAACUCGUGACGACACUACAAGAUAACAAAAGUCGAGUGGAAUUUCUUGAGGUAAACAAUGAACAUUACAAAACACAACUUUACCAUUCUCAAGAUCAGAUCAGAAAUAGAGAUUAUAUCAUGGGUGAAGCUGUGGCCCAAGUUAGAGUGAUAGCCGAUCAUUUGCAAACCUUGGCAGUUCAGGCUGAUAUAUUAAGCCUAAAAUACAAGUCAGAAUCAGAUCGAGGCCGGGACUUAGCUUGGCUUCUUAAGAAAGUUAAAGCUUUGGGCAUUAGGGCAAAGUCGUAUAUAUAAUUAUCCGUUCUAUGUAAAGAAAUUUUGUUUCUAGCAAAGUUGUUCUAAUGAAAUUGAAUCAGAAUCAACGCCUCUUUUUGCAUUCAUCCAUUCAUUUGCAUUCAUGCAUUUGUAUUACAUUACAUCAUAUGUAUUAAAGGCCAUAAAAAGAUUCUAAUUAAUUAAAAAUAUUUCAGUAAUCUGGAAACCGACAAAAAUCUCCCAAAUACACAUCCCUACUGUACAAGAAGAAAAACUAAAGCAAUGGAUAAAAAACUAGAGAGACUAGAGCAAAUGCAGAAAGAGAUGCAGGAGCAGAUGCAAGCACAAGUGCAAGAACAGUUAGCAAAAAUCCAGCAAGAAAUGAGGGACCAGAUGCUGGAAUCCCAAAGAAAUAUGAUGGAAGAGCUAACCCAACUACUAACUAGUAGGCCGGACAAAGGAAAGGGCCCUAUAGCCGAUAUGGGAAAUAACAAUGAAGAUUCCCUUUACCCCCUGGUUUUACCCCGACAAACGCUCAAACGCAGCAUGAGACACACACGCAGAGGCCAUCCAUUAUUGAAGAUCCCCUCUAUCCCCCUGGUUUCACCCCGACGAAUGCUCAAAUGCAACUCGAGCUACACAUGCAAAGACCGUCCGUUACGAUCAGGCCUUAGCAAUUUUAGACUGAUACCUCGAUGCUAAUCAAUUAUCAAACAGGCUCAGGCUCUAAUCCUAGAGAUAACCCUAUUAAUCUUACAAUACCUGAUCUAGAUAAUAUGGCAGAAGAAGAAAGAGUGAGAACAGGGCUCUCGAAAGAAUUGGAAGACCGAUGCAAGUGGUUAGAGGAAAAGUUCAAAGUGAUGGAAAAUACUGACUAUUAUUGUGGGAUCGACGCUAAAGAUCUGAGCUUAGUCCCAGACCUAGUCCUCCCUCCUAAGUUCAAAAUCCCAGACUUUGAAAAAUACAAUGGAACUAGCUGUCCAGAGGCUCACAUCAUCAUGUUUUGGCAUGGUAUGUUCAUAAUGAUCAAUUAUUGAUCCACUGCUUCCAAGACAGUUUGGUCAGGUCUGCGUCCAAAUGGUACAACCAAUUAAGUCGCGCGCAAAUCCAUUCAUGGAAAGACUUGGCACAAGCUUUCAUGAAGCAAUACAGCCAUGUGACAGGCAUAGCACCUGAUUGAAUCACGUUACAAAACAUGGAGAAGAAACAAAAUGAGAGUUUCAAGCAGCACGCCCAAAGAUGGAGAGAGGUGGCGACGCAAGUCCAACCACCUCUUCUAGAGAAAGAAAUGACUAUGCUCUUUAUCAACAUUCUGGAAGCUCCGUUUAUUAACCACAUACUGGGAAGCGCUACUAAGAACUUCUCAGACAUAGUAAUGUUAGGAGAGAUGAUAAAGAACACGAUAAGAUACGGGAAGAUCGAAACAGGGGAAAAUGCCAAGAAAUCAGCUCCGAAAAGGAAAAAAAAUGAGGUGAACUACGCGGGUGUAUACAAUAAGAGUUACUCCAAGCCAGUCACUAUGAGCCAACCAAAAACAGUGACUACCAGCCGUCAGGGCUCUGCAAGACAAUAUUUAAACCCGAGGCCUAACACGGAAAAGGUCCAGUUUACGCCUAUCCCAAUGUCAUACAGGGAGUUGUAUCAGAAUUUAUUCGAUGCCCAUGUGGUGUCACAUUACUACUUGAAACCCCUGCAACCUCCGUUCCCUAAGUGGUAUGACGCAAACGCUCAAUGCGAAUACCAUGCAGGAAUCUCGGGACACACGAUUGAGAAUUGUACUGCCUUUAAAAAAGUAGUCGAAUGGCUCAUAGCCAUGGGCGUUGUGAAGUUCGACGAGCCCUCAAGACCUAAUGUGGCUGGGAAUCCGUUACCUAGUCAUUCAGACAAAGGGAUAAAUGCGAUAAUUGAAAAUGGAAGGAAAAGAACCAAGAUGGAUGUAUUAGAGGUAAAAACCCCGUUGAAAUAGGUUUGGAAGAGGAUGUUGGAAAGAGGUUUAGUCACACAAGAUUCAAAGGAAAGGCCCAGAGAAGCGAGAAGAUACUGCGAGUUUAAUACUGAUGAAGGCCAUGACAUCCAAGAGUGCAAUAAGUUCAGGUCCAUGUGCAAAAUCUGAAGGACAAUAAGGAGAUAGAAUUUUAUGAAGAAAUAGAAAGAUCAGAAGAAUGAAAGGUUUGCGCCUCAGAGGAAGGAACUAGAUAAGGGGUCCAAAGAGUUAAUCAUCCUGUGGUGAUAAUUUCGCGACCGAGGAAUAAUGAAGCAGGAGUACAAAUGGCGCCGAGAGUCAUAAUCCAGAAGUCGGUAUCCUUCCCUUACAAAGAUAGUAAAAGGGUUUCCUGGAAUUACGACUGCAAUGUGAUGGUCCCAGGUAUGGAGAACCCGGCUAGCACUUCAAAGGAGAACCAAAAUGUAGGUUUCUAUACACGCAGUGGGAGACGUUAUGACCCUACGGGUACAGGAACUGAAACUGUUAAAAGAAAGACCCCAAUAGUUGAGCAAAGGAAGGAAAAGACGGUCAGGCUCAAGUCGCCAAUCAACGAGCCAGUAACCGAGAAUAAAGUUAAAGAAUUCUUGAAAUUCUUAAAGCAUAGUGAGUACAGCGUGGUUGAACAGUUACACAAGCAAUCGGCUCGCAUCUCAGUGCUAACUUUGCUCUUGAGUUCGGAGACACAUCGGAGCGCGUUAAUGAAGGUACUAAACGAAACUUACGUCGCGGAUGAUAUCUCUGUCAACAAGCUGGACCAUCUCGUCAAUAAUAUAAGUGCCGAUAAUUUCAUAUUUUUCAAUGACGAUAAAAUACCGCCAGGGGGAAUGGGGUCAACAAAAGCGCUACACAUCACCACCCGCUGUAAAGGAUAUACACUACUGGGAGUGUUGAUUGACAAUGGGUCUGCACUAAAUGUCCUACCCCUAUCUACGCUGAAUAGGUUGCCAGUAGAUAGUUCCCAUAUGAAGACAUGCCAAAAUGUAGUGAGGGCAUUUGAUGGUACUGAAAGUAAGGUAAUGGGGAGGAUUGAAAUACCCCUUUUAAUCGGUCCAAUCACAUACAAGAUAGAUUUCUUAGUGAUGGACAUCAAGCUCUCUUACAAUUGCUUGUUGGGAAGGCCAUGGAUUCACUCAACAGGAGUGGCGCCAUCGUCGUUACAUCAAAAGCUCAAAUUUGUAACGGAAGGCCGAUUGGUGACCGUAAACGCAGAAGAAGAUAUCAUUGCAUCCGUUACCAGCGAUGCACCAUAUGUGGGGACAGAUGAUGAAGUAAUAGAAUGCUCUUUCGAUCAUUAGAAUUUGUGAAUGCAACCUUUAUUGUCAAAGGGAACAAGGCCCCGGUGCCCAAAAUUUCCAAAACUACCAGGAUAGGCUUGCAACUGACAGUUGGAAUAGGAGCUUUAUCCGGAAAGGGGCUUGGAAGAAAUCUACAAAGAAGGAUCAAGGCACCCAUGCUCACAAACAAACGAGACCGUUUUGGUUUAGGGUACAAGCCAGAUGCAAGGCAGAAGAAAAAGGAGAUAGACAAGAAACAAGAGAAGAGAAGAGCGCGUUUAAAUGGAGAAUAGGUCAAAUGGGAGCCAAUGACCUUUCCUCACAUAUCCAGAACAUUCAUGUCGGAAGGGACUAUUUACUCUGAAGGAAGAUCGACGAGGAAGGGGUCUGCCGAAGAAAUGUUGAAAAAAUUGAGCAUUAACGUCAUAUCCAAGGAAGAAAAAAGAUACGAAGAUCAUGUAGGCAUUUGCCCGUACAUGCCCGGGAGUCUUUUAAACAAUUAGACCGCAGAGAAGAUCCCUGUAACCUUUAAGAUUAAUUCAGAGUAAUUUCCAAAAUAAGCUUAUUGCUCUAAGCCUAGGGGCAAUAAGAAUCCUUUUAUAAAAUAGGCAUAUGUCCAAAUAUCGUUAUUUUAAUAAAAAUGCACUUUUGCAUAUCAUCUUGAGCAAAUAUUCUUUUAUUCUUUCCAUUUCAUUCAUAAUCAUACCACCAAUAAAUAUUCUUAGAUUCUUUUGUUCUCUGGACUUUUCUUCAUCUCUAUAACAGGUCUCCAGAUAUCAAUGAUAUAACUAACGCUGCUACUGACUCAGAGUCUCCUUUUGAGCAAGAUAUUGUACGGAAGAUUCUCAAGAUUUUGAAGAUAACCGAAAUUGUAACCUAUCUCUGGAUUAGUUAAGGAUGGUAGAACAAGAUGAGAAACAAAUCCUACCUCACAAGGAGUCAAUGGAAAUUGUGAGCUUAGGAGAAGGAAAAUAGGUGAAGAUUGGAGCUUGUAUCACCGUGGAGACAAAACGAGAUCUCAUUGAGCUACUACAAGAAUUUAAAGAUGUCUUCGCAUGGUCAUAUCAAGACAUGCCCGGGUUAAAUACCGAUAUUGUGGUACACCGACUCCCCAUAAAGGAAGAGAGUAAGCCAGUCCAACAGAAACUCCGAAGAAUGAGACCUGAUGUUCUGUUGAAGAUAAAUGAGGAGGUCAAGAAAUAAUUCGAUGCCGGUUUCUUACGAGUGGUUAAAUAUUCAGAAUGGGUAGCCAAUAUAGUCCCAGUUCUUAAGAAAGAUGGAAAAGUACGGAUGUGCGUAGACUAUCGAGAUCUGAACGAAGCCAGCCCAAAAGACAAUUUCCCGUUGCCUCACAUUGAUAUAUUAGUGGAUAACACGGCAGGUUACUCACUUUUCUCCUUCAUGGAUGGUUUUUUGGGAUACAACCAGAUAAAGAUGCGCCUCGGAGACAUGGAAAAAACCAUAUUCGUGACCAUGUGGGGAACGUUUUGUUAUAAGUUGAUGUCAUUCAGACUGAAGAACGCAAUAGCGAUAUAUCAGAGAGCCAUUGUAACUCUGUUUCAUGAUAUGAUGCACAAGGAGAUCGAAGUUUACGUCGAUGACAUGAUUGCAAAAUCCAGGACAAAAAAAGAGCACAUACAAGUCUUGAAGAAAUUGUUCUUAAGGUUAAGAAAGUUUCAAUUAAAGCUCAAUCCCGCAAAAUGUACCUUCGAGGCCAGGUCAAGAAAGCUGUUAGGAUUCAUAGUCAGUGAAAAAGGGAUCAAAAUCGACCCAGAUAAAGUCAAAGACAUACAAGAGUUACCUCCGCCACGCACUCAAAAAGAAGUUCGAGGCUUCCUAGGAAGGCUAAACUACAUCACCCGGUUUAUUUCACAACUAACAGAGAAGUGUGACCCGAUAUUCUGUCUCCUUAAGAAACAUAACCCAAGUGUAUGGGAUGAGGAGUGCCAAAGAACUUUUGAUAAGGUCAAGCAUUAUCUGUCCAAUCCCCUAGUGCUAAUGCCACAUUGCGCAGAUAAGCCACUGAUAUUGUAUUUGGCAGUGUUCGAAAACUCCAUGGGAUGCGUGUUAGGCCAACAUAAUGAGUCGGGAAGAAAAGAGAAAGCGAUAUAUUAUCUCAGUAAGAAAUUCACCGAAUGUGAGAAAAUAUAUUCACCGAUCGAGAAAUUGUGUUGUGCUUUGAUUUGGACAACCUGGAGACUAAGACAGUAUAUGUUGUACCACACAACUUGGCUCAUUUCAAAAUUAGACCCUCUGAAGUACAUGAUGGAGUCAAAUGCUUUGAAAGGAAGAAUGGCUCGUUGGUAAAUUUUACUUUCGGAGUUAGACAUAGUCUACGUGAACCAAAAAGCCAUACAAGAAAGUGCAAUAACAAAUUUUUUGGCCAGCAGGGCUUUAGAAGAUUAUGAACCUUUGAGCUUCGAUUUCCCAAACGAAGAUCUAAUGUAUGUUGCAACCACUGAAGAAGACCCUCAAGAAGAUCAUCCCUGAAGACUGAAUUUUGAUGGAGCCUCGAAUGCUGUGGGUAAUGGAAUCGGGGCAGUUUUGGUAUCCCCAAAUGGAGAUCGUUAUCCCUUUACUAGUAAAUUGGAUUUUGAUUGCACAAAUAACAUGGCGGAGUAUGAAGCAUGCAUCAUGGGUAUCCGUGCAGCUAUUGAACGCAAAAUUAAUGUGCUAGAAGUAUAUGGGGAUUCUGCAUUAAUGAUCUAUCAGCUCAAAGGUGAAUGGAAGACGAGAAACCGUAAAUUGAUUAAUUACCGAAAGUUAGUUCUAGAGUUAAUUGAGGAGUUUGACGACAUCACUUUUUGCUAUCUCCCACGAGAUGAAAACCAGAUGGCUGACGCCUUGGAAACUUUAGCUUCUAUGAUCAAAGUAAACAAGCAGGAGGAUAUAAAGCCUAUCCAGAUGAGUAUCUAUAAGGCUCCGGCUCAUUGCUACAACAUUGACGAAAAAGAAGAAAAAGAUGAUCACCCUUGGUAUCAAGAUAUAUUACGAUAUGUGAAAAGUCGUGAAUACCCUGACCAAGCGACUAAGAAUGAUAAAAGGACAAUUAGAAGGCUGGCUAGUGAUUAUGUAUUGGAUGGAGUGAUCCUAUAUAAAAGAAGGAAGGAUCAGGUGCUGCUAAGGUGUGUGGACGCCGUUGAGGCAAAACAAAUCUUAGAGGAGGUUCAUGAGGGUGUCUGUAGAACGCACGCUAAUGGUUUCACAAUGGCCAGACAAAUCAUGAAAUUCGGGUAUUAUUGGUCCACUAUGGAAAUGGAUUGCAUCAGCUAUGCCAAAAAGUGUCAUAAAUGCCAAAUUUACGGAGAUAAAAUUUAUGUACCUCAUUCACCUUUUCAUGUCAUGACUUCUCCAUGGCCUUUCUCCAUGUGGGGGAUGGAUUUCAUUGGGCCGAUCUCACCGAAGGCAUCUAACAGACAUCAAUUUAUCUUUGUGGUUAUCGAUUACUUCACCAAGUGGGCAGAGGCCACAUUUUAUGCCAACGUCACAAAAUUGGUAGUCAGCAAGUUCCGAAAGAAAGAGAUCAUAUGUCGAUAUGGGAUGCCUAAGAGGAUCAUAUCUGACAAUACACUGAACUUGAACAAUAGCACGAUAGCAGAGGUCUGUAGCCAAUUCAAGAUCAAACACCAUAACUCGUCACCAUAUCGCCCAAAAAUGAAUGGUGCGAUGGAAACAGCCAAUAAGAAUAUCAAGAAAAUCAUGAGAAAAAUGACUGAGACUUAUAAAGAUUGGCAUGAGAAAUUACCAUUCGCCCUCUACGCCUACCGAACGUCAGUCAGAACCUCCACCAAGGUAACACCUUUCUCUUUGGUUUAUGAAAUGGAGGCGAUCUUGCCUAUUGAUGUUGAAAUUCCUUCUCUACGAGUCCUGUCGGAACUAAAGUUAGAUGAAGCAGAAUGGAUCCAGUCACGAUAUGAUCAGCUAAACCUAAUUGAUGAAAAGUGGCUGAAAGCUAUUCACCACGGUCAAAUGUACCAAAAGCAAAUGAUGCGAGCUUAUAACAAGAAGGUAUGCCCUAGAGAAUAACAUAAGGGAGACCUUGUUUUGAAAAAGAUCCUCCCCAUACAAAAGGACUUUAGAGGAAAAUGGAUGCAAAAUUCAGAAAGACUAUAUGUGGUGAAGAAGGCUUUCUCUGGAGGAGCUCUAAUUUUGACCGAAAUGGAUAGAAAAAGCCUGCCUAAUCCCAUAAAUUUGGAUUCAGUUAAGAGGUACUUUACCUAAAAAAAUAGAGAAGCCAAGGCGAAAACCCGUAAAAUGGCGCUUUGAGACUAAAAGGGGUUUUAAAUUGAAAACCCAAGAAUGGGCAAUUCAAAUUUUGAUCGAAGUUGGGGCAUGCGGUAGUCUUGUUUUUCUCUGAAUUAACAAGGAGGGAUGCUACAUCUUGGGGCAUCAACAAAAGACUCUUGGUCUUCUAAACGCAUAUCAAGUUCAAAGGGUCCUCGAGAAGCUCUGUGCAGAGAAGCUCAUGCUACGAUAUCUGGGGCACCUAUUUUCAUGUUAUUCGUUUUGUACCCUAGCAAAAUUUGCUAUCUUGAUUGCUUAUUCAUUUUGAGCUUUUUCUCAAUAAAAUUUUGUCUUGUCCAUUACGAUAAUCUUUUUCAAGCACUUUUCAUUGAAAUAAUGAUUAACGGACUAAUGACAUUCAAAAGGAGUUCUGCAUAUUACUCUGAAAUGAUUUUAAAUGAUACAAAGACCUGAAACGGGACUAAUUAGUUUGAAUUACCUAAAUUCAAGGAAACAUUAGGAAAAGAAUAGCCCAAAUUGUGAUUGUUCUUCAAAAGAUACCAGCUAAAGAAAAAAGGGAGAGUAAUACGUCAAUGAUAAAACUUCGAUGAACAGCGAGUAAUAUCAAAUUAGGCAUUAAAAAUAACAUUUUUGCAUUCACGCCAACAUCAUCCAUGCACAUCUAGUUAGGAUCAUUUGAUUCAUUCAUGACAUCCUAAUCAUUUGGCAUAUGCAUAGGCUCAAGAAAUCGAUUCUACAGGUCAUGUCCCUCAGAGGACGAUGUAGCAAGAUCGAUUGUAACUACGAAUUUUGGCAAAUCUUAUCUUCCUGAAGUUGCAAUGAAGUAGAUUGAAACCACUAACUUUAUCUCCUUGAAGAUACGGCGGAGUAGACUGAAGUUACAAGUCUUAUCUUCCUGAAGUUACAGUGAAGCAGAUCGAAACCACUAACCUUAUCUCCCUGAAGAUACGGUGGAGUAGGUUGAAGUUACAAGUCUUAUCUCCCUGAAGUUGCAGUGGAGCAGGCUGAAGGUAGCGAAUCUUGUUUUCCUGAAGUUGCAGUGGAACAGAUUGAAGCUAUAAAUUGUAGAUCUUAUCUCUCUGAAGUUACAGUAGAGUAGAUCAAAACAAGUCUUAUCUCCCUGAAGUUGCAGUGGAGCAGGCUGAAGAUAGCAAAUUUUGUUUCCCUGAAGUUGCAGUGGAACAGAUUGAAGCUAUAAAUCACAGAUCUUAUCCCCCCAAAAUGGCAAUAGAGCAGGUCGAAAGUAAAAACCUCAUCUUCCUGAAGUUGCAGUGGAGCAAGUUAAAAGAGCAAGAUUUAUAUCCCCAAAGUUGCGGUGGAGCAUAUUAAAGCUACUUAAAGAAAAUAAGCGCCAAAAAAAGUCGGGACUCAGCAGGUCCAGGCAAAACGGGCCCUUUUAUGGUCUUUGCUCUAUUCCCGUUACACAACGAUGAGCAAAGAGGGGCAACUGUACGGGCCCAAAUUUGCCAGGCCCUUUAGAAAACCUAAUAAUAACAACAAAACCCUAAACCCGAAAGGCUCAAAAUCUAAAAAAAAAUUUACCCUAAUGCCUAUGUGCGCCGUACCCCUCCUCGAUCACGUCGCCUAUACCUCGUCCCGAGGCUCACCCUUCCUGUCUCCAUUUCACCAAAAUGGUAAAGGGUUGGCCUCAUUUCUUCGUUGACCCUCCAAAAACACCUGCAAGAAGAAAAAAGGACAACAGAAACGAAAGCAGAGAUAAAAUGCAUAAACAAUAGUAACAAUAGCGAAUACACAGUGUUGUAAAAGCUAUAAGAGCCAGAAUCGACAAUGUAAUUUUUUACACGGAUACAAAGCAAUAAAAAAACAAACAAAAAAGGUUGAGUCUCGUUGUUCUCUCGUUUUUACUUCCCGUUUCUUUAUUUUAUUUUCAGUUCUCAAAUAAGUUUUUAAUAAAAACAUAUAAAAGAAAAGAGAAAAGAGGAUUUACCUGAAGCCCGGAGUCGGUCGUCGGAGUCCCUGCUCCGUCGUUGAGACCGAUUCCCAAAAGGAAAAUUAGGUCUCUUUUCUCGGGUUCUCAAGCCAAGGAAAGCACCGUCUUCGGGUGCUCUAAACCGGGGUUAAAAAGAACCCCUCGCACGGCCUCAACCACUGCCCUCAGUGGUGUUGUGCGAUGACGGCGAUGAUGGGUUUCUUUUGAAACCCUAGCAAAGCACAAACCGGGAGGGUGUUCUGUUUUAGAAGAUGAAGCAAAAUAAGAAAAAAAGUAAUAAAAAUUGGUUUAAAU